rnacentral:rRNA from 1 species
UACGUAGGGUGCGAGCGUUGUCCGGAAUUAUUGGGCGUAAAGAGCUUGUAGGCGGUUUGUCGCGUCUGCCGUGAAAAUUCGAGGCUCAACCUCGAACUUGCGGUGGGUACGGGCAGACUAGAGUGUGGUAGGGGAGACUGGAAUUCCUGGUGUAGCGGUGAAAUGCGCAGAUAUCAGGAGGAACACCGAUGGCGAAGGCAGGUCUCUGGGCCACUACUGACGCUGAGAAGCGAAAGCAUGGGGAGCGAACAGGAU